AACUUUGUACAUUUUCUUUAAAGUCAUAUUCUUUCUCUAAAACUUCAGCCCUAACUUUCUCUGCCUUCUCUUUAGCAAAUCUUGAAAUUUGAUCGGUGCAUUGUCAUUUAGGUGGUGAUUCUGCGUUCACGGAGUCGAGAGCUUCGACUUGAACCGAUCGGUUUCGCGUUCUAUAGCGGAUCCUGUUUGGUUCUCCGCUGUGUGGGGUCCUGUUUAAAGUAUUCUAGCAAGUUGUACUGCUCAACUUCUAGUUAUCGUGCCCACGGUAAACGCUGGGUAGCCAAGUGCGGAGCGGAUAACUGCUGAAAGCAUCUAAGUAGGAAACCCACCCCAAGAUGAGUGCUCUCCUAUUCCGACUUCCCCAGAGCCUCCGGUAGCACAGCCGAGACAGCGAUGGGUUCUCUGCCCCAGCGGGGAUGGAGCGAAAGAAGUUUUGAGAAUUCAAGAGAAGGUCACGGCGAGACGAGCUGUUUCUAAUUAAUGAUAGGUGUCAAGUGGAAGUGCAGUGAUGUAUGCAGCUGAGGCAUCCUAACAGACCGUUAGACUUGAACCUUGUUCCUACAUGAUCCGAUCAAUUCGAUCAGGCACUAGUCAUCCAUUUUCAUUGUUCAACUCUUUGACAACAUGAAAAAACCCAAAACGUUGAACUGGUACAUGUGGCAAUUAUGUUUGAUGUAUGUAUGGUGUUGUUGAGUGGUUGUAAAGCAUAUGAAUGUGAACUACAAUGAUGUAAUUGAGUAUGAAGUGGACAUCUCAGGGUGAGAUGAUUGAAAGUGAUGUAUGGGGUGUUGUUGUUGUUUUGUAUAACUGUAUGGAGCUUUGAACUGGUAUGUCUAUCCCUACACUCGAAGCACUGUUCAUGCUCAAAUAGAAGAGAGCAGUGUAAGUGGUGAGAGUAGAGGGAGGUUCUCGUCUAUAGUCUUAGAGUUUAGACAUAGACAGAUGGGGGAUUUACCUUGCAUAGUGUUGGGGAGUGCCAGCUGAACUACGCAAGUGCAAAGACGACCAAUAGUUCGACAGUUAUACCAAUCCGAAUGAGUCGUGUGAGUGUUGGAGUCAUGGUUUAAAGUGGUAUGUCUUGAUUGUUCUUUAUAUGUAGCUAAGCACGAUGAUAUUUAUUGAUUGAACUAUAUGAUUACUGCUUGUUUAUCUAGCUCACCCUUGCUUCUUUGUUGUGUGUUGCUUGUGUAUGUUUUCCUUUGCGAUGAUCAUCCACUUGAUGAGAGCAGAUGUUGUUGAGGAGGUUCCCUUGGAGCAAGAGUUGGAGGAUGCUGAUGAUGCAGUAUAAUAUUUUUAGGAUUUCUAAAUUUAAGUUGGUGUUAUUUUGAAGGACUCUAAACUGUUUAAGUUUUAAGUUCUGUCCUUUUGUGGAUGACUGUAAUAUCAGCUACUGAACUACUAUUCUACUCUGACUGUUCUCUUUAUUGGAAUGUGGACGCCUAAGUUAUAUGAUUGUGGUUAUUAUAUAUUUGGGAUGCCACAUAACUCA